CCACGCCCACAGACCACCGACUCCAAACUGCACUCGUGUUUCUGGCACAGGAUCUGAACACACCCUUAUAUCUCUGGCGCUUCCUUUCAUCAAUAAACACAGAUCAAGUCAAAUAAACAAUAAACACCUGAAGACGUCUCGGAGAAUCACGACUCUCUUCAGGAUUCUCACUUCUGAAAGAUUCCAAUGUUAAGGCCAACAUGACACUCAAACUCAAAAUGAAUCCUGCCACACUCACUCCACACCUCUCAUUUAAACCUUCUCCAUCCAAUCAGUUUCUGUUAAAUGAAACAAGUCCCGCCUCCACUCCUGUUUGACUCAGACAGACAUCAGAUCACACAUAUCAAAUCAGAUUGUGUGUCACUCACGGUGAAUGUGUGCAGGAGUGUGUGUGUGUGUGGGUGCAGCACGCGCACAGUUGUGGUAUUUCACACACAGACGUGAGAGAGAGAGAGAGAUAAACAACUUUAAGAUGGACUACAUACAUCACACUUUAUUAUAAUUUAAAUGAUUAUCUUUCUUUUCGUUUGUAUACUGUGCUUGCAAUAUUUGUACG